rnacentral:rRNA from 1 species
AACGGAUUUGGCGGCAAGAUAACCAUUUAGAGGAACCUGCCCUAUAAACGAUGAACCACGAAAAUCUUACUUUUUUUAGAAAUCAGUUUGUAUACCGUUGUUGGCAGUUAGUUUCUCUAGAAAACUUUCAUUUAUGAAAUAUUCACUGACUUCAAGUAAAGGUGCAGCUUAUAGAAAAGGUAGAGGUGGGUUACAUUUAAAAGAAUAACACGGAUAAAGUUAUUGAAAUUAGCUUUUGAAGGUGGAUUUAAUUGUAAAGUUUAAUAAAACUUGAUAUGAGCUCUGUCUUGUGUACACACCGCCCGUCGCUAGCGGGAAAA